AUAAGGUUAAGUUAAUAAGGGCGCACGGUGGAUGCCUUGGCACUAGAAGCCGAUGAAGGACGUGACUAACGACGAAAUGCCGUUGGGGAGCUGUAAGUAAGCAAUGAUCCAGGGAUGUCCGAAUGGGGGAACCCGGCAGGAAUGCCUGCACU
rnacentral:rRNA from 1 species